UACAGAGGUCUCAAGCGUUGUUCGGAUUCAUUGGGCGUAAAGGGUGCGUAGGCGGCUCGGUAAGUCGGGUGUGAAAUUUCGAGGCUCAACCUCGAAACGCCACCCGAUACUGCUGUGGCUAGAGUCCGGUAGGGGAGCGUGGAAUUCCUGGUGUAGCGGUGAAAUGCGCAGAUAUCAGGAGGAACACCGGUGGCGAAGGCGGGUCUCUGGGCCGAUACUGACGCUGAGGAGCGAAAGCGUGGGGAGCGAACAGG
rnacentral:rRNA from 1 species